rnacentral:rRNA from 1 species
UUUUGUGGGGUGCUCGAGUGGCGAACGGGUGAGUAACACGUGAGUAACCUGCCCUUGACUUUGGGAUAACUUCAGGAAACUGGGGCUAAUACCGGAUAGGAGCUCCUGCUGCAUGGUGGGGUUGGAAAGUUUCGGCGGUUGGGGAUGGACUCGCGGCUUAUCAGCUUGUUGGUGGGGUAGUGGCUUACCAAGGCUUUGACGGGUAGCCGGCCUGAGAGGGUGACCGGCCACAUUGGGACUGAGAUACGGCCCAG